CCCCAGAUGGCAGGAUGACCAGUACAUGUUAAAUAUAUUAAAAUAUAAAUUAGAUACACAAUAAGUAUUCAUGACCAAACCGUUAUUUUGUUGUACAAAUAGAAUCAGACUCUGAAAUAUUGUACAAUUAGCUUGUGAAGGAAAUCAAAAAUGCAGGUGGGCAAAAAUAUAGGGAUUGGGAAUUCAAUGUAAUGGUUUUUAGUCAUCUCCCAGAAUUCUUUUGUUGGGCGUAGCUGGUUCAGUUCAUUACUGCUCCAUUGGAAAUGAUUUGGUUGAUCUCAUUGCUGAGGAUGGCCAGGUCUAUCAGAACUGGUCAUCAUCUAGUAUUAUUGUUGAAGUAUAUAAUGAUCUCUUGGCCCUGCUUGUUUCACUCAGCAUCAGUUCGUGUAAGUCUCUCCAGGCCUUUCUGAAAUCAUCCUGUUGGUCAUUUCUAACAGAACAAUAAUAUUCCAUAAUAUUCAUAUACCACAAUUUAUUCAGCCAUUCUCCAACUGAUGGGCAUCCACUCAGUUUCCAGUUUCUAGCCACUACAAAAAGGGCUGCCACAAACAUUCAUGCACAUACAGGUCCCUUUCCCUUCUUUAUGAUCUCUUUGGGAUAGAAGCCCAGUAGUAACACUGCUGGAUCAAAGGGUAUGCACAGUUUGAUAACUUUUUGAGCAUAGUUCCAAAUUGCUCUCCAGAAUGGUUGGAUGUAUUCACAGUUCCACCAACAAUGUGUUAGUGUCCCUGUUUUCCCACAUCCCCUCUAACAUUCCACAUUAUCUUUCCCUGUCAUUCUAGCCAAUCUGACAGGUGUGUAGUGAUAUCUCAGAGUUGUCUUAAUUUGCAUUUCUCUAAUUAAUAAUGACUUGGAGCAUCUUUUCAUAAGUUAGAAAUAGUUUCAAUUUCUUCAUCUGAGAAUUGUCUGUUCAUAUCCUUUGACCAUUUAUCAAUUGGAGAAUGGCUUGAUUUUUUAUAAAUUAGAGUCAAUUCUGUAUAUAUUUUGGAAAUGAGGUCUUUAUCAGAACUUUUGACUGUAAAAAUGUUUUCCCAGUUUAUUGCUUCCUUUCUAAUCUUGUCUGCAUUAGUUUUGUUUGUACAAAAACUUUUCAGUUUGAUGUAGUCGAAAUUUUCUAUUUUGUGAUCAGUAAUGAUUAUAUGUAUCUUUACAAUAUAUUUGAAACAUGGUCAUCAAGAGGUCUAAAAACUUCCAGUGAGGGAGUACUACCUUUUAAGUAAGUCUAUUUUAUUUUGGGAUUGCUAGUUAUUUUUUUCCUUAAGUUUUUCUUUAAACUAAACUUAAAUUUUUGUCUACAGAAUAAAGUUAUUAACAGGUGCUUGAACUAUUUCUUACUGAAUUUUAUAUUUGGAAAAUUGUCGCUGCAAUUUCUAUCUACUCUGUCUCUGCUUUCUGGGUACCUUUUAUGGACACUAUUAGGGUAAUACAAUUAAUAGUUUCAAAGUUGUUUCAAACUCUCAGAUAGACUUAGCCUUUUCUUUGACUUUCCAGGAUUGAUUUCAAGUCUAAGUGGAUUUGCCUUACAAUUUCCUGAAGUUUUCCAGUCUUUCUAGUUAUAAUAUUUCCUUAUAAGCUGAAGAAUAAUACAUUAUAUAGUGACUUUGAAGAGGUAUUUUAGCAUUCAAGCUUUAGA
ensembl:lncRNA